GGUGGACUGGGGAGGUGGGCAGAGGUGUGGCCCUGAGUUUGGGCGGGUCUCUGCAGAUUCAGACAGCUGAGAAGGUGGCCCCUGUGACCAGGACAGGGAGGGGGUCGUGUGUUCCACCUUCCUGAGGGGUCCUCCGCCUGGGUGGGGGCCGGAGGGGGGGAGGCAAGGGCCUAGAGUCCCUGACCCCGCAGGCCCUGACACUGGGGUCUCAGUGGGGAGGGUUGCGGACUAACCCCACAACCCCCUCCCCACCCUAGGUGCCCGUGAGGACUGGACACGGGCCCUUCGCGGGCACUGCGUGAUGUCGGCCCAAGAGCUCGUGGCCUGCCUCUGCCGGGAGGGAGACCGGCACCUGGCCCUGGGAGAGCCCCCCUUGGCCACCGCCUUCUACCUGGCUGCCUUCAGCUGCCACGCCCCCUCGGCCCUGCGGAGCGUCCGCGCUGCCCUGGCGGAGGCACAGGGGGCGCCGGUGGUGGCCACGCUCGAGGCCUGGUGCCGGGGCGACAGCCAGAUCCCGCCCAUCCACUGGGACGGUAUGGCGGUUGUGUCCCUCACGGGGACCCUGGCCUCCGCGUUCCUGGCCGCCCUCUGCCCGGACCACCCGGCCACGGUCCUGCACUCCCUGGCCGGCCUGCUGGCACACGGGCACCACGAGGAAGUGGUGCGGCGCUGCGACAGCCUGCUGGAUGCCCACGGCCAGCAAGCCCUGGAGCUACAGCUGACCCGCGCCCUGGCCCGCGUCCUGUCCGGGCUGCAGGCCGACGCGGGCGCGGUCGACUAUCUGCAGGCCUUUGCCUCGAACGCAGACCGGACCGUGGCCUUCGUUCGAACCCACCAGAAGCCCUACCUCCCCGUGCUGAUCGGCACCCUCCAGGACUACAUCUCAGGGCGCCGGGAGGCAGAGGACGGCACCGGCCUGCAGGAGACCGCCUGCCGGGGACUCCUGGCAGCCCUGGACCCCGGGGGCACCUGGAGCCACGCCCUGUCACCGGAAGCCCUGCUGCGCAGCGGCAGGUAUGAGGACUGCCGGGCAGCGUGCAGCCGGGCCCUGGAGUCUGACCUGGUGGGCAGCGGCCCCCAAGGUAAGAGUGUG
rnacentral:lncRNA from 1 species